GACGGAGGAUGCAAGCGUUAUCCGGAAUGAUUGGGCGUAAAGCGUCCGCAGGUGGCAGUUCAAGUCUGCUGUCAAAGACCGGGGCUUAACUUCGGAAAGGCAGUGGAAACUGAACAGCUAGAGUAUGGUAGGGGCAGAGGGAAUUCCUGGUGUAGCGGUGAAAUGCGUAGAUAUCCGGAGGAACACCGAUGGCGAAGGCAGCUGCCUGGCCUAGAACUGACGCUGAGGUGCGAGAGCGUGGGAGCGAACGGG
rnacentral:rRNA from 1 species